UUAAGUUUUAAAAAGUAAUUAAAUGUAGCACAUAGCGUUGUAGUAACACGGGCAUUACAUUUAACUCAACCAAACAAUUGAAAUCUGUGACAUGUCAAUGUUAUUUUGAACAUAAAUCGACCGAGAUUGUACUUAAGUUUAAUAGCAGAUGUAUGAACUCAUUCUUAAACACUUAUCAAUAUGUAAACCGGCACUAAGGCAAGUGUACACGCUUGUAGAGGCCUUAUAGGAAAAAAAUAAAUUAUUGAUUAUCUCCGAAAUUGAGUUAAUUAGAAUAUUGGUGUCUUUGAGAAAGUAAUUUGAUUUAAGCUCAGGAAUGCACCCUUGAAAUUAACGGAAAUAAAAAAAAACACGGUGUAUUAUUGUACCUCUAUGACGUCCGAUGAUGAAAAGGGAAAGGUGGGAUCAGGUCGUGCAAUUCUUUUGGGUUAUUCCCACUAGUUAACACCAAGUUCUUACGGGUGGUAACUACUGGGAUUUUUUUCCCCACCUGUGUAUUGAAUUCUAACAAUAUUUUGGUGGUAACUACUGGGAAUAAAAAUUCCCAGUAGUUACCACCAAGCCGAGUUGGUGGUAACUAGUGGGAUUUUUUUUACCAGUGGUAAAAGGUGGGAAAAAAUGCCCAGUAGUUACCACUGGUAAGAACUUGGUGGUAACUAGUGGGAAUAACACAUUCUUUUGCGCACUCCCUAGGAUAUAUCCGAUAGAACACCGAUAGACAUGUAACUCGUCGGCGAUGAUAUUAUGAUCGAGGCUUUGUAACUUUGAUUUGACAGCCAUCGCCAAAAAGUAUAUGAGCCCGGCGCUCUAUCGAGUCCAGGGCUGCCAGCUGAUAGUCGGACCAAAAAAAGUCUGCAGCAGAUUUGAUAGCCAGUGGCAGCAGUAUUCCAUGCACGAGCGGACCUAUGUUUAGUGCCGCCUCACCUUAAAUAGGACAUCAGGUUUUGGUAGCAGGCCUGGACUCAAUUGUCGACCCGAAAUUUUGGUUGGAUUAUUAUUGUUCUAAUACAAAGGCCGCAAUGAGACUACCAUAAAAAUUUUGUUUUGUACCAAGUUUUGUUUCUUUUUAAAAAUAAAGGAAUGUCUCCUUUAAGUAAAAUGAGCCAGCUUAAGGAUUUAAGGUAGUUUCCCUCCAGGGCCCGACUUAUCUUUCCACCCUGUAUAUGGCAUCCUAUUUGAAAGCAAUCCUACAAUUAUGGUCAUACACGCCAAAUUUGUCAAAAUUGUUGUUAUUACACCAUCAUCUGUAAAUAUGUAGUUAGUUAAUAAGUUUGUGCGUGUAUCCUACUAACAUUUGUUGUAAGAUUUAAAUUAAAAUGACGAAAUUGAUCCUUAGUUGGCCUUAAAUAAAUUAAAUUAAAUUAUUAAUCACAGGAUAAUUAAAUAACAACAAUCUUAACAAAUAUAGCGUGUAUGAUCAUGAUUGUAGGAUUGCUUUCAAAUAGGAUCAAUAAACAUUCUUUGAAUAGGUAGGUAUAUCUUCCUUUGACGUGGCUGCUAUAGUCUUCAGAAUUUGAUUUGCCGUGUGAUCAUCGCUUUCUGGUUGCAACUUGGUGCCAUCGAGGAAUGUCCAUAGUAUAU